UGUUAUGUCAUGUUAUCGACAUGUGAAUUCAUAGCAUGUCAGAAGGCAGACCCGGAGAACUGAAACAUCUUAGUACCCGGAGGAAGAGAAAGAAAAAUCGAUUCCCUGAGUAGCGGCGAGCGAAACGGGAAAAGCCCAAACCAACAAGCUUGCUUGUUGGGGUUGUAGGACACUCUAUACGGAGUUACAAAAGAACAUGUUAGACGAAUCAUCUGGAAAGAUGAAUCAAAGAAGGUAAUAAUCCUGUAGUCGA
rnacentral:rRNA from 1 species